AACGAACGCUGGCGGCAGGCCUAACACAUGCAAGUCGAGCGAGGACUUCGGUCCUAGCGGCGGACGGGUGAGUAGCGCGUGGGAACGUGCCCUUUGCUUCGGAAUAGCCCUGGGAAACUGGGAGUAAUACCGGAUGAGCCCUUUGGGGGAAAGAUUUAUCGGCGAAGGAUCGGCCCGCGUUGGAUUAGGUAGUUGGUGGGGUAAUGGCCUACCAAGCCGACGAUCCAUAGCUGGUUUGAGAGGAUGAUCAGCCACACUGGGACUGAGACACGGCCCAGACUCCUACGGGAGGCAGCAGUGGGGAAUCUUAGACAAUGGGGGAAACCCUGAUCUAGCCAUGCCGCGUGAGCGAUGAAGGCCUUAGGGUUGUAAAGCUCUUUCAGCUGGGAAGAUAAUGACGGUACCAGCAGAAGAAGCCCCGGCUAACUCCGUG
rnacentral:rRNA from 1 species